rnacentral:rRNA from 1 species
UACAGAGGGGGCAAGCGUUAUUCGGAAUUAUUGGGCGUAAAGGGCGCGUAGGCGGCUUGGCAAGUGGAUGGUGAAAUCCCUCGGCUUAACCGAGGAACUGCCGUCCAAACUGCUUCGCUUGAGACCGGGAGAGGUGAGUGGAAUUCCCAGUGUAGCGGUGAAAUGCGUAGAUAUUGGGAGGAACACCAGUGGCGAAGGCAGCUCACUGGACCGGUACUGACGCUGAUGCGCGAAAGCGUGGGGAGCAAACGGG